rnacentral:rRNA from 1 species
UACAUAGGUGGCAAGCGUUGUUCGGAAUUACUGGGCGUAAAGGGCGCGUAGGCGGCCUUCUAAGUCGGACGUGAAAGCCCCAGGCUUAACCUGGGAACUGCGUCCGAUACUGGGAGGCUUGGAUUCGGGAGAGGGAUGUGGAAUUCCAGGUGUAGCGGUGAAAUGCGUAGAUAUCUGGAGGAACACCGGUGGCGAAGGCGGCAUCCUGGACCGAGAUCGACGCUGAGGCGCGAAAGCUAGGGGAGCAAACGGG